rnacentral:rRNA from 1 species
GUCUAUGGUCAUACCACCCUGAAUGUGCCCGAUCUUGUCUGAUCUCGGAAGCUAAGCAGGGUCAGGCGUGGUUAGUGCAUGGAUGGGAGACUGCCUUGGAAUACCGGGUGCUGUAGGCU